GAUAAACCGGAGGAAGGUGGGGAUGACGUCAAAUCAUCAUGCCCCUUAUGACCUGGGCUACACACGUGCUACAAUGGAUGGUACAACGAGGCGCAAAACCGCGAGGUUAAGCGAAUCUCUUAAAGCCAUUCUCAGUUCGGAUUGUAGGCUGCAAUUCGCCUACAUGAAGCCGGAAUCGCUAGUAAUCGCGGAUCAGAACGCCGCGGUGAAUACGUUCCCGGGCCUU
rnacentral:rRNA from 1 species